rnacentral:lncRNA from 1 species
UAUAAAGGUAUUCAUUCUUGCCUUUCAAGGCAAGAUCAGCAGGUCUGAGGAAAAAAAUAUACAGAAAGAAAAGGCUAGGCUGCUACUAUAAGAAAUUAAAAAAAAAAUCAAAAACAUAAUUGCAGUACAUUGUUCCAUUGAUUUUCUCCUGGUUUUCAGUCUGGAAUUGGUUUAAAUAACCUGUGAUGCAUUGAGGGUUGAAAAUAGUUUGAACUCGCAAUAGAGUUAUUACUCCAUUGUUUUCUAUAAUUCUUGAGAAUCAAACUUCUGAGCCUUUUCUGGUUCACAC